AUCGCGGGAGUAACACGAGCGCUUUUUCGGAACUCAACUAGGUACUUAUUUAAGAGAAUUGUGACUUAGAUUUUUCCUACGCAUGCGCUAUAUAUAUUAAGUAUUAACCGUGAUAACCAGUUCCGAAAAAGAGCUCGCGUUGCUCCCGCGAUUCUCUUGUAUAAUAAUAUUAUGUACUAGCUAAGUGGUUAACAAUAUGUUUUUAUAAUUAUGUCUAUGAAAUUUUCAUAAAAAUUAAGUAAAAUAGUUAAUUAUUCCGUGUACCUAAAGUUAGUUGAUGGUUCCGCGGAUUAAAGGUAGGCCGUGAAUGGUUCCAAGCAUCAAUAUAGAUAAACAUUCUAAUUUAUCACUAGCGGUACGACGUAUACCCUACCCAUUAUUUAAGGUAUUGAAUAUCUGUUUGCACUACACAAUUAUUUAAAUAUUUAAAAGUGUAAUGAAGUCCAGACAUACUGACAUAAAGGCAAAUAUAAAAUGUGCAAAAGGCUGCCACUGAUGUCUAGUAAAAGGCCAAUUUUGAAGUGAAUCUUCUUCACUAUCAGAUUACCUACUUAUAAAAGCAUUGGACAAAUUUAUUUUCUUCAAACUUUCAACGUUCAUUGUAUACAUAUAUUUUAAAUUUAAAUACAUUUGAUAUGAAGAACAAAUCAAGUUAUGAAUCCACUUACUCAAAAAUUAUAUUGUGGAUAAUUGUCCUUCUCGCAUAUUGUUAUUUUAUAAGAAAACUGUGGAAUAUCUACCAAAUGAAUAAUUAUGAAGAAAUAUGUCCUUUAUGUGGUAAGAGAACUGUGCCAAAAUCUAUCAAUUCAUUGGAAUCCUGGGAUACAUAAUAACUUAGAGUAGAUUUUAUUCUCAUUUAUAGAAUUUUCUUUUAGAGUUUUCUAAGAGAACACAGUUCCUGACACCAAAGAAAAUGUUUGAUUAAUAAACAUUUGGAUUUAAAAAUAAGCUCAUUGUAUUGAAACAAAAUUAAAACUCUUAAGUAAGAAAACUAACUAUAAAAAAAUGAAGAAUAUAUAGUUUACUAUUUUUUUUUUUAAAUAUCAUAAGGUAAAAAAUAAGAAGAGGGAUAAUUUACUCAAAUUAACUUAAGCACUCUGCUACAUAUAGAAUGUUUAUGCUCCAAAAAAAUCACAAUCAUUAAAUCAUACUAAUAAAAUUCUAUGUUAAGUUAACAGGAUUCUUGUUAGUAUAGAGCCAAAAAGCUUGUUAGGUUAAUAGUAUUUUUAUUAUUCUAAACCUAAUAAGAUUUUUGUUCAUAUUAUGUAAUUUAAGUUCAAAAUUAUAAAAAUUUCAAAAAUAAUUUGUAUUUAUAUAAAAUUUAAAAAAUGAAAAUCAGACUAGGUACUCAUAAGUUUUUCUACUUUUAAUAAAAAUAAAUUAAUGGGAAAAUUACAUUAU